UUCGUUGUAGCUCAGUGGAAGAGCAGUUCUGGUAUUUUACCGGAAAAGGCCAUGAGUUCGAUUCUCAUCAUCGGUA
rnacentral:tRNA from 1 species